UACGUAGGCAGCGAGCGUUGUUCGGAAUUACUGGGCGUAAAGAGUGUGUAGGCGGUGCUCUAAGUUCGGUGUGAAAUCUCCUGGCUCAACUGGGAGGGUGCGCCGGAAACUGGAGUGCUUGAGCGUGGGAGAGGAAAGCGGAAUUCCUGGUGUAGCGGUGAAAUGCGUAGAUAUCAGGAGGAACACCCUGUGGUGUAGACGGCUUUCUGGACCAUAGCUGACGCUGAGACACGAAAGCGUGGGUAGCAAAC
rnacentral:rRNA from 1 species